AAAAAAAAAAAAAAAAAGAGUAUCGUGAAUUUUAAUUUUUCUGACAUCAUUUACAGGUUCAUUUUAGUUGACUGUUCAGUACCGCACCUCGACGAGCACGGAAUUUUUAUCUUGGCAUCUCAGGGCUUAGUAGUUCAGAGCGUGGAGGCAUUCGACGCUGGGACGACUCAAACCAACAGUACUCAGGGAGUUCCUGAUCCUAUUUAUUUUUAGUUGACGCUAUUUCUUUAUUUUAGAAUUGCAUCAAUUAAUUCGUUGUGUGCUGGCCAUUUGAUAAUAUUGCCUUCAACCUAUUUGAUUGUAUUUCACGAACUAAAUUCCAUUGAUAUGCACUAGCCCUUUGAUAAUACUGCCUUAAACUUAUUCGAUUAUAUUUCACGAACUAAAUUCCAUUACUCAAUCGUUUACCCCACGUGACUAGACCUAGUUUUUGGACAUUUGCUUUUCUAUUUUAUUAGCAUUAGUAGUAUUAGCUUGCGAUCGAGCCAUAAGUAACCCCAACCUUUAAAUUGACAAAAUAACAAAAAAUAAAUAAAUAAUAAUAAUAAUAAUAAUUUCAAUAACUAAUUUUUCGGUUGGCACUAGUUGAUUGUUGAUUAUUGAUCUCAGUAGUGCACUUUACGUAGUCGUGUGACCGUGUAUGCAAUUGCGUAGUGGUCGCGUUACUGCCUCUAGCUCUAGUAAC
rnacentral:lncRNA from 1 species